rnacentral:rRNA from 1 species
UACGUAGGGUGCGAGCGUUGCCCGGAUUUAUUGGGCGUAAAGGGCGCGCAGGCGGCCACGCACGUCCGUUGUGAAAUCGCUCGGCUCAACUGGGCGGGGUCAGCGGAUACGGCGUGGCUGGAGCAAGCUAGGGGCAAUGGAAUUCCCGGUGUAGUGGUGGAAUGCGUAGAGUAUCGGGAGGAACACCAGUGGCGAAGGCGGUUGCCUGGAGCUUUGCUGACGCUGAGGCGCGAAAGCGUGGGGAGCGAGUCCGG